rnacentral:rRNA from 1 species
UACGUAGGGUGCAAGCGUUAAUCGGAAUUACUGGGCGUAAAGCGUGCGCAGGCGGUUUUGUAAGUCUGUCGUGAAAGCCCCGGGCUCAACCUGGGAACAGCGCUUGAGACUGGCACGCUCGAGUUCGGGAGAGGAUGGUGGAAUUCCCAGUGUAGAGGUGAAAUUCGUAGAUAUUGGGAAGAACACCGAUGGCGAAGGCAGCCAUCUGGACCGACACUGACGCUGAGGCGCGAAAGCGGGGGGAGCAAACAGG